rnacentral:rRNA from 2 species
UACGAAGGGGGCUAGCGUUGCUCGGAAUUACUGGGCGUAAAGGGCGCGUAGGCGGACAGUUAAGUCGGGGGUGAAAGCCCGGGGCUCAACCUCGGAAUUGCCUUCGAUACUGGCUGUCUUGAGUGCGGGAGAGGUGUGUGGAACUCCGAGUGUAGAGGUGAAAUUCGUAGAUAUUCGGAAGAACACCAGUGGCGAAGGCGACACACUGGCCCGUUACUGACGCUGAGGCGCGAAAGCGUGGGGAGCAAACAGG